AGUGAAGGGAGAGACAAACACUGAACGGGCAAAUACUGGAAUUUGAACCUAAAACAUCUUCAGAAAGUUACCCUGGCACAGCAUCCUGAAGUUCAGGAGUGGAGAGGGAGAGAGAGAGAUGAUGUCCUGUGGCUGAAUCAACGAGUUGCAUAAUCUGGGAUAACCAGCAUCAGGGAAGCUGUCUGAGGAUGGAUUGUCCUCUGAGGCUGAUGUUGUGAAGCUUGACUGUUACACAUUAGUCAUUGCUCAACAGUUUCACAAAUAAUUUUCAGUAGCCCAAGAAGGGCUCUAAUCAGGUUCAGUGGAAAUCUUUCCACAGAUUUUGCCUCUCUGCAAAGAUAAGGUCCUUGAAUCAUACACUACUAGCUGGCAAUUCUCAGAAGGAAGAAGCUGAAUUAGUUUUUCUAGUUCUUGCAGUCAGCAGAGUGGAAACAUUUUUUGUCAUCUUCUUUGUACCUUGAGAUGGGAAAGAUAUCCAGAACCACGACGUCUCUCUGAAGGUGCUGUAAAAUCAAGGUCACCAGGCUCAUAUGGUCUCCAUGAGAUGUCAAUCCCCGUGCAGGAUGAUCCACCAGCAGCUGGCGGCUAUAUGACUCUUGUUUGAGCAAUUGACCAGAUGUCAUGGACAGUGCCUCAUUGUGCCUCACUGCCAGUUGUGAAGACAGUCUACAUCGUGCCACUGCUUUGAUGAGCUGGUUACUAGGCCACUGCUGCUAAAGGUUUCCAAGAAGCAGAUUCUGUUCAGCCAUGAAGCAAACUGAUAAUGAGUCUUAAGAAACCUUUUCCUUGUCCUACUUGUUACCUUUGACAUGUAAAAGAUUAAACUGUCAUUUGUAAACUGAUUGUCAAACAGUUCUGAGCAAACUUUGCCCGUGGAAAUCUUAAAGAUGAUUUAUGCCAUUGUUGCUUGUGUGUCAUGCAGUAGAAAGAGACUACAUUGCUAUUUAUUUUAUUUAUGCUGCUUAGUUUCAGAGAGGGAAAUGAGAAAAAGCAUUCAUUGGAAUUUCUUAUUCAAGCUCUCUGCGAGCCUCAAAGUGUUCUGAGAGGAAUCAAUACGUAAAACUAUAUGCUUAUUUCAGUUUUGUAUACUAAAAAGUUUAUUCUGCCUGUAAAAAUGUGGUUAGACUGGCCAAACCUUUUCAAA